rnacentral:rRNA from 1 species
UGGGGAAUAUUGGACAAUGGGCGCAAGCCUGAUCCAGCCAUGCCGCGUGAGUGAUGAAGGCCUUAGGGUUGUAAAGCUCUUUCGCCAGGGACGAUAAUGACGGUACCUGGAUAAGAAGCCCCGGCUAACUUCGUGCCAGCAGCCGCGGUAAUACGAAGGGGGCUAGCGUUGUUCGGAAUCACUGGGCGUAAAGCGCAUGCAGGCGGACUGAUAAGUCAGGGGUGAAAGCCCGAGGCUCAACCUCGGAACUGCCUAUGAUACUGUCAGUCUUGAGUCCGGGAGAGGUGAGUGGAACUGCGAGUGUAGAGGUGAAAUUCGUAGAUAUUCGCAAGAACACCAGUGGCGAAGGCGGCUCACUGGCCCGGUACUGACGCUGAGAUGCGAAAGCGUGGGGAGCAAACA